rnacentral:ncRNA from 2 species
GGCAUCCCGGUCGAUGAUGGUUCCCGGGACGGUCAGGCCGCCGGGUGAAAAGGGAACGUGGUGAGGUGCGUAGCACCAAUUCCGCGACUGCCCCCGCAACUGUAGGCGGAGAGCAUAGCCCGACAGCCACUGGCGCAGCCGAGCGCCGGGAAGGCGGGAUAUGCAGCGACCCGCAAGUCAGGAGACCUGCCAUCGUCAUGUCAACCAA